UGACAGCCCCGUACACAAAAAUGCACAUGCUGUGAGCUCGAUGAGUAGGGCGGGACACGUGGUAUCCUGUCUGAAUAUGGGGGGACCAUCCUCCAAGGCUAAAUACUCCUGACUGACCGAUAGUGAACCAGUACCGUGAGGGAAAGGCGAAAAGAACCCCGGCGAGGGGAGUGAAAAAGAACCUGAAACCGUGUACGUACAAGCAGUGGGAGCCUCUUUAUGGGGUGACUGCGUACCUUUUGUAUAAUGGGUCAGCGACUUAUAUUCUGUAGCAAGGUUAACCGAAUAGGGGAGCCGAAGGGAAACCGAGUCUUAACUGGGCGUUAAGUUGCAGGGUAUAGACCCGAAACCCGGUGAUCUAGCCAUGGGCAGGUUGAAGGUUGGGUAACACUAACUGGAGGACCGAACCGACUAAUGUUGAAAAAUUAGCGGAUGACUUGUGGCUGGGGGUGAAAGGCCAAUCAAACCGGGAGAUAGCUGGUUCUCCCCGAAAGCUAUUUAGGUAGCGCCUCGUGAAUUCAUCUCCGGGGGUAGAGCACUGUUUCGGCAAGGGGGUCAUCCCGACUUACCAACCCGAUGCAAACUGCGAAUACCGGAGAAUGUUAUCACGGGAGACACACGGCGGGUGCUAACGUCCGUCGUGAAGAGGGAAACAACCCAGACCGCCAGCUAAGGUCCCAAAGUCAUGGUUAAGUGGGAAACGAUGUGGGAAGGCCCAGACAGCCAGGAUGUUGGCUUAGAAGCAGCCAUCAUUUAAAGAAAGCGUAAUAGCUCACUGGUCGAGUCGGCCUGCGCGGAAGAUGUAACGGGGCUAAACCAUG
rnacentral:rRNA from 1 species